AUUGAACGCUAGCGGGACGCUUUACACAUGCAAGUCGAACGGCAGCGCGGACUUCGGUCUGGCGGCGAGUGGCGAACGGGUGAGUAAUGUAUCGGAACGUGCCCAGUAGCGGGGGAUAACUACGCGAAAGCGUAGCUAAUACCGCAUACGCCCUACGGGGGAAAGCAGGGGAUCGUAAGACCUUGCACUAUUGGAGCGGCCGAUAUCGGAUUAGCUAGUUGGUGAGGUAACGGCUCACCAAGGCGACGAUCCGUAGCUGGUUUGAGAGGACGACCAGCCACACUGGGACUGAGACACGGCCCAGACUCCUACGGGAGGCAGCAGUGGGGAAUUUUGGACAAUGGGGGCAACCCUGAUCCAGCCAUCCCGCGUGUGCGAUGAAGGCCUUCGGGUUGUAAAGCACUUUUGGCAGGAAAGAAACGUCGCGGGCUAAUACCCCGUGGAACUGACGGUACCUGCAGAAUAAGCACCGGCUAACUACGUG
rnacentral:rRNA from 1 species